UACGUAGGCGCAAGCGUUAUCCGGAAUUAUUGGCGUAAGAGCUCGUAGGCGGUUGUCGCGUCUGCCGUGAAGUCGCUCAACUCCGAUCUGCGUGUACGCAGACUAGAGUGAUGUAGAGACUGAUCCUGGUGUAGCGUGAAUGCGCAGAUAUCAGAGACACGAUGGCGAGCAGUCUCUGCAUAACUGACGCUGAGAGCGAAGCAUGGGAGCGAACAGG
rnacentral:rRNA from 1 species